rnacentral:rRNA from 1 species
AUACGGAGGGUGCAAGCGUUGUUCGGAAUUACUGGGCGUAAAGCGCGCGUAGGCGGUCUGUUAUGUCAGAUGUGAAAGUCCUCGGCUCAACCGGGGAAGUGCAUUUGAAACUGGCAGACUUGAGUAUUGGAGGGGGUAGUGGAAUUCCCGGUGUAGAGGUGAAAUUCGUAGAUAUCGGGAGGAAUACCGGUGGCGAAGGCGACUACCUGGCCAAAUACUGACGCUGAGGUGCGAAAGCGUGGGGAGCAAACAGGAUUAGAAACCCGUGUAGUCC